CAGAUUCAUGACUUCAAUUGAGAGAUGAGUUUCAAGCCACCUUUCAAGGAAUCCUGGGUAGAAUGAAAUCUGUUCCAUGGAAUCUUAAGAAGAAGAAGAAAAAAAAUCAAGAUCCCUGUGGAUACUCUCCUGAUAUACCACGAUGCAGAAUGUCAAGUAGGAAAAGAAGCUGUUGCAUUGGGCAAUUAAGAAGUCAUUGGUGAGAGAAGUUUCAGUCUGAAGUGGAAUCAUAGUAAAUUACAGAAAAAUAGUCUUUGGAGAGAGAAGGAAUCUGGUUAAUCCACAGGCCACACAAUCAUGGUUGAAAAUUAGUGAAUGAGCGAAUGAUGGAUCCAUCUCUUGAAGCAAUACUUGAAUCGCAGAAUUCUUAUAUUGAUAGAAGCAGAAGGAAACCAGAAGUGCUCCAAUUAAAGGCCUCCAUUUUUCAGAUCAGCAGACUAUGAGCCAUGCAUAGGAUCACACACAGAUUCAAAGGAAGUUGCAAAGGAAGUUGCAAAGAAAUGUACAAGGAGUUCUGGUGCCUCUUCAUCCAGUAUCUUCUAACGUUAACAACCUG
rnacentral:lncRNA from 10 species